rnacentral:rRNA from 1 species
UUAGAGUUUGAUCCUGGCUCAGAACGAACGCUGGCGGCAGGCUUAACACAUGCAAGUCGAACGCACUUUUCGGGGUGAGUGGCAGACGGGUGAGUAACGCGUGGGAACGUGCCCUUCAGUUCGGGAUAACCCAGGGAAACUUGGGCUAAUACCGGAUACGUGCGAGAGCAGAAAGAUUUAUCGCUGAAGGAUCGGCCCGCGUCUGAUUAGCUAGUUGGUGAGGUAAUGGCUCACCAAGGCGACGAUCAGUAGCUGGUCUGAGAGGAUGAUCAGCCACAUUGGGACUGAGACACGGCCCAAACUCCUACGGGAGGCAGCAGUGGGGAAUAUUGGACAAUGGGCGCAAGCCUGAUCCAGCCAUGCCGCGUGAGUGAUGAAGGCCUUAGGGUUGUAAAGCUCUUUCGUCCGGGACGAUAAUGACGGUACCGGAAGAAGAAGCCCCGGCUAACUUCGUGCCAGCAGCCGCGGUAAUACGAAGGGGGCUAGCGUUGUUCGGAAUCACUGGGCGUAAAGGGCGCGUAGGCGGCUUUAUAAGUCGGGGGUGAAAGCCUGUGGCUCAACCACAGAAUUGCCUUCGAUACUGUAUGGCUUGAGACCGGAAGAGGUAAGUGGAACUGCGAGUGUAGAGGUGAAAUUCGUAGAUAUUCGCAAGAACACCAGUGGCGAAGGCGGCUUACUGGUCCGGUUCUGACGCUGAGGCGCGAAAGCGUGGGGAGCAAACAGGAUUAGAUACCCUGGUAGUCCACGCCGUAACGAUGAAUGCCAGCCGUUGGGCAGCUUGCUGCUCAGUGGCGCAGCUAACGCUUUAAGCAUUCCGCCUGGGGAGUACGGGUCGCAGAAUAAAACUCAAAGGA